rnacentral:rRNA from 1 species
GCUUAUGGCCAUACCACCCUGAGCACGCCCGAUCUCGUCUGAUCUCGGAAGCUAAGCAGGGUCGGUCCUGGUUAGUACUUGGAUGGGAGACCGCCUGGGAAUACCAGGUGCUUUAAGCU